AUUGGAUGAGCCCGCGGCCUAUUAGCUUGUUGGUAGGGUAACGGCCUACCAAGGCUUCGAUGGGUAGCCGGCCUGAGAGGGUGUACGGCCACACUGGAACUUAGACACGGUCCAGACUCCUACGGGAGGCAGCAGUGGGGAAUUUUGCGCAAUGGGCGAAAGCCUGACGCAGCGACGCCGCGUGCGGGAUGAAGGCCUUCGGGUUGUAAACUCCUGUCAGAGGUGAAGAAAGUCUCCUUCGGGAGGCCUGACGGUAACCUCAGAGGAAGCCCCGGCUAACUACGUGCCAGCAGCCGCGGCCGAAU
rnacentral:rRNA from 1 species